GACGAACGCUGGCGGCGUGCCUAAUACAUGCAAGUUGAGCGCUGAAGGUUGGUACUUGUACCGACUGGAUGAGCAGCGAACGGGUGAGUAACGCGUGGGGAAUCUGCCUUUGAGCGGGGGACAAAAUUUGGAAACGAAUGCUAAUACCGCAUAAAAACUUUAAACACAAGUUUUAAGUUUGAAAGAUGCAAUUGCAUCACUCAAAGAUGAUCCCGCGUUGUAUUAGCUAGUUGGUGAGGUAAAGGCUCACCAAGGCGAUGAUACAUAGCCGACCUGAGAGGGUGAUCGGCCACAUUGGGACUGAGACACGGCCCAAACUCCUACGGGAGGCAGCAGUAGGGAAUCUUCGGCAAUGGACGAAAGUCUGACCGAGCAACGCCGCGUGAGUGAAGAAGGUUUUCGGAUCGUAAAACUCUGUUGGUAGAGAAGAACGUUGGUGAGAGUGGAAAGCUCAUCAAGUGACGGUAACUACCCAGAAAGGGACGGCUAACUACGU
rnacentral:rRNA from 1 species